GCGCCCCGCACGCCCAGCCGGGGCCGAGCCGGAUCGACCUCACGCUCCUGGUCCAUCCCGUGUCCACCAGAGACACCGCACGCGAUGCAAAGCCCUAGGGGAGACCCCGCAACCCCUUCCCGACACCUGUUGCUGUCGACGCUUUGCCCGAGCUCGUUUUGGAUCUCGGGAGAAGCUCCGCCGUCCGCCGCCGUUUGCUGGGCGAUUUCGCCGCCAGCACACCGGAGCGACCACCCGCCACCGAGCCGACGCACCGGAGCAGCCGUAGUUCACGUCUUCGCCACCGCCGCUCGAGGACGCCCCGCCGCCGUUGAGCACCACCACUGCCUUCGGCGCACCCAUCCCCUUACCUUCGCCGGAGACGCGCCGUAGCCUACGCCCGACGCGGCCGCCGCCGUUUUCUCUGUUUUGCUGAUUGUCCAGAGUGCGACGCGAGCUAUUGUCAGGAGUGUGACUUUCUGAACCAGAACCAAG